AUUGAACGCUGGCGGCAUGCCUUACACAUGCAAGUCGAACGGCAGCACGGGAGCAAUCCUGGUGGCGAGUGGCGAACGGGUGAGUAAUAUAUCGGAACGUGCCCAGUCGUGGGGAUAACGUAGAGAAAUUUACGCUAAUACCGCAUACGAUCUAAGGAUGAAAGCGGGGGACCGUAAGGCCUCGCGCGAUUGGAGCGGCUGAUAUCAGAUUAGGUUGUUGGUGAGGUAAAAGCUCACCAAGCCGACGAUCUGUAGCUGGUUUGAGAGAACGACCAGCCACACUGGGACUGAGACACGGCCCAGACUCCUACGGGAGGCAGCAGUGAGGAAUAUUGGACAAUGGGCGCAAGCCUGAUCCAGCCAUGCCGCGUGCAGGAUGAACGGUCCUAUGGAUUGUAAACUGCUUUAUACAGGAGAAACACACCCUACGUGAGGUACGUUGACGGUACUGUAUGAAUAAGGACCGGCUAA
rnacentral:rRNA from 1 species